AGGGCGGACCAACCCUUUCCCAUUUCCCACUCAAAGGAGGCGGCUCAAGUGGGCAAGGCGUUGAACACAAACGCCAGCACCCCCAUGUGUGGCGCGUGCUGGGGGCCGAUGACCAGACGCAGGCAGCUCCAGACGCCACCUCCUGCCACUGCUCUAGCCCGGGCCCACCCCGCAGCCCAGUCCCGGCUACUUUAGGCCUGGGGUGAGGUAAUGAGACAGAGCAUAGAUGAAGACGGGGCUGGGAGAAAGAGCUGUGGAAACCAGGAAAACAGGGGAAUUACUCAAGUGCAAGAUUAAAGGCAAUAAUGAGCAAUCAGACCGAACUGGAAUGACAGUAGGGGAAGGUGAAGAGACUUUGGGAAAAGGAAGAGCACUGAAGUCAGACCUGGCACAGCCUUUUACGAGCUAUGUAAUCUCAGACAGAGAAACUGAGGCCAAAUCCCCACUUCAUACUUCAAGGUACAGGACUACCAAAUACCCUGUGUGCCUUCUUGCUCACGCUCAGCCUCCACCAGGAGUGCCAUCCUAAGACCCUUCCUGUUGGCCUAACUCAUCCUUUAACCAGGUAAAGUCUGUCCACACAAGGGAAUAAUAUUCAGCUAUAAAAGGGAAUGAAGUACUAAUACAUGCUACAUGCUACCAUGUGGAUUAACCUGGAAAACAUUAUGUUAAGCGAAGGAAGCCAGAUUCAAAAGGUCACGCAUUCUAUCAUUCCAUUUGUAUGAAAUAUCCAGAAUAGGUACAUCCAUAGAGACAGGAUGCAAAUUGGUGGUUGCCAGGGGCUGGGGUAAGGGGAAAUGGCGACAACUGUGUAAUGGGUAUGGGUUUUGUUUCGGGAUGGUGCAAAUGUUUGGGGACUAGACAGAGGUGGUUGUUGCACAGC